UUAGUGCAGUACAUUUUCAUGGUACGGUCAGUACUGUUUAUUUUUGUAAUAAAGUGAACUUAAUUUUUAUAAGUGUUAUAUUUUCAUUCAGUAGUAUUCAGUGGUUAUUAGUAGGUGCUACCCGACUUGGUUAUUGACAUCUGUAAGAUCCACUAUCGGUCAGCCUUUAAAAUAGAUUAAUGUGUAUGACAUGUUCUUCUUUAAUUAAUAAAGAAAUGCACUUGUUGACAACUUGCUGUGGUAUAAGGGGAAUAAAACACUUCAGAAUGUGCAGUUCUACCUUAGGGUGGUAACGGUCACUCCACUUCAUUGGAUCGUUGACUACUUUCCUAUAACCGCAUGUUUAUUCCUUACAUAAAUUAAACAUAAAGCAUGUAGGGGUUCUACAUGCAUGUAGUAUUUGCACAAUUAAUAACCUAUUAGAGUAAUACAUUGUGGUAUAUAAACUGAAUUUUGUGUUUGAUGUGUCUGCAGUGUCCAAAGCCCGUGGUGGUGGCAGUGCAUGGCGUGUGUGUGGGAGCAGGAGUGGAUCUAAUCACAGCCUGUGAUAUUCGUCUAUGCACACAGGAUGCCUUUUUUCAGGUGAAGUCGUGUGUUCCCUGAUAGUCAGUGAUUGCCGGAGCUCUGGAAAUAGCAGGUGAGAUUGCAGGCCGGAGUCCCGUCGCUGUCCAGGGAAUUAAAAUCAACCUCCUCUACUCCUGAGACCACAGUGUAACUGAGAGCCUAGACUACAUGGCUACUUGGAACAUGAACAUGUUGCAGACACAGGAUCUUAUGAAGUCAGCGCAAACAGCCCUGGAAAAGAAGAGUCCGAAAGACGUGCCUUUCUCCAAGCUUUAAAGGAGAAGAUCCAGGGCUGUUGAAGCUGCGGUGGAACUGAGACUUCAUAAUCCACAUAUCUUUAGUUCUUCUUGCUAAGUCUCAGUUUCUUUUUAGUCUUUUUAUUUUUAGACUGGUCAAAAGACUGAUUAGUGGAAGUGAAAUGAUGGAUGAACUUUUAAUUACUUGCUUUAUUAUUUGCAGGUGCUUUGUACAGUAAGACAUAUUUUUUCUGGUGCUGUGUGACUGCAGAAUGUAGUGCAGUUAACACAGUAAAUUUCCUUGGAUGCUCACUUUUAACUUGAGGAGGUCACAGUUUGCCCAGACAUCUUUUAUUUAAAUCCGUCACCCACACGUCAUUCUGGGGGAUGAAGAGGAGGAAGUUGGACAGAUACAUUUAUUUAUUAUUGCUGUUUCCUCAAUCCAGUGCAGAAGGAAGAGAAACAACAGAAUUGAUUUAAAAUAAAAAUAUAGAAAACAAUCUAAUGUAAGGUUCUGAUCCGGUUUGCUUUCAGCAGGAAGGCUGUCCUCUUUCCUGUUGCUCUUUCUCUUCUAUUAGUCCAUUUGUCCAGUCUGAAUCUGUUUGAUUGUUUGAUUCGUUUCGAGACGAUUCGGAGUCAAAUAAUUUUCUAGUGAGAGUCGCACACUUCCAAACGAACUAGACUGAGAUGAGUAUUUGAUUGUCACUAGAAAGUGAUUCGACUCUGAAUCAACUCGAAAUGAAUCAGUCAAACUGAUUCAGACUUGAUAAAAGGACUAUGAGAUGUGAUUAAGAUAUAUAUUCCAAUGUUUUGCUUUACAAUUCCACUGUGUGUGUGCACGCACGUGUGUUUUUCAGGAGAACGAGAAACUCUGACACAAGAGUACAUCUUGACCAUUGGUACUGUGUACACAUCAACAUACACACACGUCUCCAUGCUGGACAUCUCAGGAGCUUUCACACACAGUGCUAGGAAUAUCCCAGGACAGAGAAACGCACCUCCUAAGUGAGCGAGUUUAGCGUCAAACAGUGAAAUUUGCU